GUCUGCGGCCAUGCCGCCCUGAACAUGCCUGAUCCCUUCUUAUCUCAGAAGCUAAGCAGGGUCGGGCCUGGUUAGUACUUGGAUGGGAGAUCAGCUAGGAAGACCAGAUACUGUAGGCG
rnacentral:rRNA from 1 species